rnacentral:rRNA from 1 species
GACGAACGCUGGCGGCGUGCUUAACACAUGCAAGUCGAACGCUGAAGCUCAGCUUUUGUUGGGUGGAUGAGUGGCGAACGGGUGAGUAACACGUGAGUAACCUGCCUCCUUCUUUGGGAUAACGCCCGGAAACGGGUGCUAAUACUGGAUAUUCACUGGUCUUCGCAUGGGGGUUGGUGGAAAGGGUUUUUCUGGUGGGGGAUGGGCUCGCGGCCUAUCAGCGUGUUGGUGGGGUGAUGGCCGACCAAGGCUUUGACGGGUAGCCGGCCUGAGAGGGUGACCGGUCACAUUGGGACGGAGAUCCGGCCCAGAAUCCUACGAGAGGCAGCAGUGGGGAAGAUUGCACAAUGGGGGAAAGCCUGAUGCAGCGACGCCGCGUGAGGGAUGGAGGCCUUGGGGUUGUGAACCUCUUUCGCUCAUGGUCAAGCCGCAACAAUGGUUGUGGUGAGGGUAGUGGGUAAAGAAGCGCCGGCUAACUACGUG